rnacentral:rRNA from 1 species
UACGGAGGGGGCUAGCGUUGUUCGGAAUUACUGGGCGUAAAGCGCACGUAGGCGGCUUUGUAAGUUAGAGGUGAAAGCCCGGGGCUCAACUCCGGAAUUGCCUUUAAGACUGCAUCGCUCGAAUUGUGGAGAGGUAAGUGGAAUUCCGAGUGUAGAGGUGAAAUUCGUAGAUAUUCGGAAGAACACCAGUGGCGAAGGCGGCUCACUGGACCGGCAUUGACGCUGAGGUGCGAAAGCGUGGGGAGCAAACAGG